rnacentral:lncRNA from 1 species
AGAUGAGCUGACAGACCCUGGCUGAGCAGGAAGUGGCAGGGUCAGGAAAAGCUAGGCCACAAGUUUUCCCUUGAGAGCCUUAGAGUCUAGCCCUGUCGCCCAGGCUGGAGUGCCAUGGUUUGAACUCUACUCACCGCAACCUCCACCUCCCAGGUUCAAAUGAUUCUCCUGCCUCAGCCUCCUGAAUAUCUGGGAUUACAGGUGUCUUUGUGAAGCUUCCUAUCUUUGCUUUUCAACUAAGAUGAAACAGCAUUUAAAAGAAAAUGCCAUGUGAGAUGAGAUCAGGAGAAUGGAUUCUUUCUUUCAUCUGAAUAGAGAGCUGCUGUUCGAGAUUCUAACUCAAAUAGCUCAAAGGACACCUUCUCCGGGAAACCUUCCCUGACUUCCGACGCUGUUUCCUGUUUUGCAGGAAAGAAUACACAAGCUCAGAAUCUCUUGGGCUGAGUGACAAAGGAGGAAAAGGGAUGGUUCCAAGUAGGAUUGGAGCUUCUGCUUCCUCACUUCCUCACGUAGCUCCAUCUGCCUCUUCAGAGAGCUCCCAUCUCCCACUGUGUGCAGCUGAGUUCCAAGCACUCCUGGCGGCAUAAUGACUGGGACAAAGAUAUUUCCUGCAGUUGUCAAUGGUGCUCCUAUACUGAAACUCUCCUAGGAACUUGGCCAAAUCUUCCUGCUCCCCAUCCCUGAUUUCUGUGAACAAGAGGGAAGACUUUGUCACACUUCUCAUUGGUGAUCAUAUUAAUUUCUAGGCCAUGUGUAUCUAGAUAUGAAAUAAUAUUUCUGUUAUUUUAAAAUAUAAGAUCCUUGGAAGAUGUCAUCUAUUGGAACAUGUAACUAUAUAGCCAGAAGAGGAGAUCACUAGAGCCAGACUGCUCUGUCUACAUACUUAAAAAGACAUUUGGAGGAAGAGAGCAUCUGCAAAUGUUGAUGAAAAUGGGUUUGGAACUUCUCUUUUGAUCAGGAAAUAGGUAGACCAUAAAAUGUCUGAUGCAUGUUGCUGCCUGAAGCAAACCCACAAUCUGGAACCCAGUCAUCUUGUUGCUCUAGAAAGCAUCAAGAGAAAAUGGAAGAAGGCUUAAAAGGCCCAUCACAUUUUAAUCUCUAUGGUUGGAUUAAUCAAAAGUUUUCAUAGUUUUACUAAAGAAAAAUGAGUGGUCAUUUAUACUUCAUCUCUAACAAGAAACUUUUUUGUCCAGUGCUCAAAAAUACAUAUGCUAUUAUGCUAUAGUUUCCUUAUGACUUGUUUUGUUUUCUAUAGUUGAUUGUGAGCCUCCAAAGGGCAUGGAGCUAUAUGGUAUGAUUCUUUGCUCCUCAGGCAUUUUCUUGCUCAGGAGACAUACCUAACAUGUUUUUACUUAAUGAUAAAGGUGGUAUGAAUGCAUCAUCAAUAACAGAAGCUUAGAGCUAGAAGUAAAUGUUUAAUCAUUUA